AAAGAUUAAGCCAUGCAUGUCUAAGCAUAAACCGAAUAUGGUAAAGCCGCGAAUGGCUCAUUACAACAGCCAUAGUUUAUUGGAUCUUAGAGUCCUACUUGGAUACCUGUGGUAAUUCUAGAGCUAAUACACGCAAUCAAGCCCCAACCUUACGGGCGGGGCGCAUUUAUUAGAACAAAACCAAUUGGCUUCGGCCAUAGCUUGGUGAAUCUGAAUAACUACGCUGAUCGCACGGGCUUGUCCCGGCGACGUAUCCUUCAAGUGUCUGCCUUAUCAACUUUCGAUGGUAGUUUAUAUGACUACCAUGGUUGUAACGGGUAACGGAGAAUAAGGGUUCGACUCCGGAGAGGGAGCCUGAGAAACGGCUACCACAUCCAAGGAAGGCAGCAGGCGCGCAAAUUACCCACUCUCAGAACGAGGAGGUAGUGACGAAAAAUAACGAGACAGUUCUCUAUGAGGUCUGUCAUCGGAAUGGGUACAAUCUAAACCCUUUAACGAGGAUCUAUUGGAGGGCAAGUCUGGUGCCAGCAGCCGCGGUAAUUCCAGCUCCAAUAGCGUAUAUUAAAGUUGUUGCGGUUAAAAAGCUCGUAGUUGGAUCUGCGGUCACAGACGCUGGUUUCCUUCACGGAAUACUGGUUGUCUUGACCUACCUUGCUGGUUUUCCCUUGGUGCUCUUUACUGAGUGCCCUGGGUGGCUAGCACGUUUACUUUGAAAAAAUUAGAGUGCUUAACGCAGGCUUUUGCCUGAAUAGUGGUGCAUGGAAUAAUGGAAUAGGACCUCGGUUCUAUUUUGUUGGUUUUCGGAGCACGAGGUAAUGAUUAAGAGGGACAGACGGGGGCAUUCGUAUUGCUGCGUUAGAGGUGAAAUUCUUGGAUCGUAGCAAGACGACCUACUGCGAAAGCAUUUGCCAAGAAUGUUUUCAUUAAUCAAGAACGAAAGUUAGAGGUUCGAAGGCGAUCAGAUACCGCCCUAGUUCUAACCGUAAACGAUGUUAACUAGCGACUCGCAGGUGUUACUUUAACGGCCCUGCGAGGAGCUCCCGGGAAACCUAAGUGUUCGAAUUCCGGGGGAAGUAUGGUUGCAAAGCUGAAACUUAAAGGAAUUGACGGAAGGGCACCACCAGGAGUGGAGCUUGCGGCUUAAUUUGACUCAACGCGGGGAAACUCACUUGGUCAGGACACUGUAAGGAUUGACAGAUUGAAAGCUCUUUCUUGAUUCGGUGGAUGGUGGUGCAUGGCCGUUCUUAGUUGGUGGAGUGAUUUGUCUGGUUAAUUCCGAUAACGAGCGAGA
rnacentral:rRNA from 1 species